ensembl:lncRNA novel transcript
CUGAGAUUGUGCCACUGCACUCCAGUCUGGGUGACAGAGGGAGACUCUGUCUCAAUAAAUAAAUAAAUAGAGUGUGAAUUUAAUUUAAAAAUAAGGCAUUGUAAGAUUUUUAAGCAGCAGAGUAACAUGGUUCAGGAGGCUAUUGCUGAGGUCCAGAAAAGAGAUGAUAGUGGCUUCAACUGGGGUGAUGGCAGUGAAGAUGAUGAGUAAUGGGUAUAUUUAAGAUAUUUUUAGGCUUGGCAUUGUGGAUCACACUUGUAAUCCCAGCAUUUUGGGAGGCCUAGCCAGGCAGGUCCCUUGAGCCCAGGAGUUUGAGACCAGCCUGGGCAACAUGGUGAAACUGUCUCUGCAAAAUAUAUAAAAAUUAUUCAGUCCUGGUGGUGUGUGCCUGUAGUCCCACCUACUUGAGAGGCUGAGGUGGGAGGAUCACCUGAGACCAGGAGGUUGAGGUUGCAGUGAGCUGUGAUUUCACCACUGCACUCCAGUCUGGGCAACCGAGUGAGACCCUGUCUCAAAAAUAAUUUUAAAAUAGGCCGGGCCUGGUGGCUCAUGCCUGUAUUCCCAGCACUUUGGGAGCCCAAGGCGGGUGGAUCACCUGAGGUCAGGGGUUCAAGACCAGCCUGGCCAACAUGGUGAAACCCCGUCUCUACUGAAAAUACAAAAAAUUAGCCAGGCGGGUGGCGGGCGCCUAUAAAACCAGCUACUCAGGAGGCUGAGGCAGGAGAAUCACUUGAACCUGGGAGGCAGAGGUUGCAGUGAGCCGAGAUUGCGCCACUGCACUCCAGCCUGGGUGACAGAGCGAAACUCUGUAUCAAAAAAAAAAAAAAAAAAAAAAAA